UGAAUUUAGGAGUCCCCCAGGAGCGAGUUAAUCGCUACUGGGCCUUGUUCACCGAACACUCAGGUUUAUUAGUUAUCACUAGUCGCCGUAGCUCAGUUGUAGUUGAUAGUACUGAUUUAACUUCAACCACAAGUCUAUUAAAUUUACUGAAACAGAACUCUGACGAUUUGGAAAAAAUUGAGAAAGCUUGGAUUGAUACGUUCUCAGCUUGAAAACAGUUGGUAGCAGACAGUAUUGAUAAAUUAGUUGAAUUCAAUUUAUAUCCUUGUUUAUCAGGUGAAAAAGGAGUUGAUAUUAUAACGUCGGAUUUUGAGAAAAAAUUUGAAAGUGCUCAAUCAUUCAAGACAUCUUGGCCAAAUCUUCGAGCAACAUUUGAAGAUUUUAUUUUAUCAAAAAGGAUAGAUGAUGUUGAUGCUGCAACUCAGGUUGUUAAAUUAGCCGAGUUAGUCGAUGAUGAUAAAGAUGCUGUCAUUUUUUCAUUAUUACCUUUGGCCAUUAAAUCGUCAAUUGCCAGUACUGUUAAACGGAGGGAAG